GACGAACGCUGGCGGCGUGCUUAACACAUGCAAGUCGAACGGAAAGGCCCUGCUUUUGUGGGGUGCUCGAGUGGCGAACGGGUGAGUAACACGUGAGUAACCUGCCCUUGACUUUGGGAUAACUUCAGGAAACUGGGGCUAAUACCGGAUAGGAGCUCCUGCUGCAUGGUGGGGGUUGGAAAGUUUCGGCGGUUGGGGAUGGACUCGCGGCUUAUCAGCUUGUUGGUGGGGUAGUGGCUUACCAAGGCUUUGACGGGUAGCCGGCCUGAGAGGGUGACCGGCCACAUUGGGACUGAGAUACGGCCCAGACUCCUACGGGAGGCAGCAGUGGGGAAUAUUGCACAAUGGGCGGAAGCCUGAUGCAGCAACGCCGCGUGCGGGAUGACGGCCUUCGGGUUGUAAACCGCUUUCGCCUGUGACGAAGCGUGAGUGACGGUAAUGGGUAAAGAAGCACCGGCUAACUACGUGCCAGCAUCCGCGGUGAUACGUAGGGUGCGAGCGUUGUCCGGAUUUAUUGGGCGUAAAGGGCUCGUAGGUGGUUGAUCGCGUCGGAAGUGUAAUCUUGGGGCUUAACCCUGAGCGUGCUUUCGAUACGGGUUGACUUGAGGAAGGUAGGGGAGAAUGGAAUUCCUGGUGGAGCGGUGGAAUGCGCAGAUAUCAGGAGGAACACCAGUGGCGAAGGCGGUUCUCUGGGCCUUUCCUGACGCUGAGGAGCGAAAGCGUGGGGAGCGAACAGGCUUAGAUACCCUGGUAGUCCACGCUGUAAACGGUGGGUACUAGGUGUGGGGUCCAUUCCACGGGUUCCGUGCCGUAGCUAACGCUUUAAGUACCCCGCCUGGGGAGUACGGCCGCAAGGCUAAAACUCAAAGGAAUUGACGGGGCCCCGCACAAGCGGCGGAGCAUGCGGAUUAAUUCGAUGCAACGCGUAGAACCUUACCUGGGUUUGACAUGGAUCGGGAGUGCUCAGAGAUGGGUGUGCCUCUUUUGGGGUCGGUUCACAGGUGGUGCAUGGCUGUCGUCAGCUCGUGUCGUGAGAUGUUGGGUUAAGUCCCGCAACGAGCGCAACCCUUGUUCACUGUUGCCAGCACGUUAUGGUGGGGACUCAGUGGAGACCGCCGGGGUCAACUCGGAGGAAGGUGGGGAUGACGUCAAGUCAUCAUGCCCCUUAUGUCCAGGGCUUCACGCAUGCUACAAUGGCUGGUACAGAGAGUGGCGAGCCUGUGAGGGUGAGCGAAUCUCGGAAAGUCGGUCUCAGUUCGGAUUGGGGUCUGCAACUCGACCUCAUGAAGUCGGAGUCGCUAGUAAUCGCAGAUCAGCAACGCUGCGGUGAAUAAGUUCCCGGGGCU
rnacentral:rRNA from 1 species